UCUGGCGGCAGCCGGAGCUUCUGGUGUAGUCUUCACUGCUCUGUGUCUUCUGCUCCUAGAGGCCCAGCUUCUGUGGCCUCGUUACCUGCAGGUAUUGGGAGAUCCACAGCUAAGACGCCAGGACCCACUGGAAGCCUAGAAAUGGGACCAUUGACAUUUAUGGAUGUGGCCAUAGAAUUCUCUUUGGAGGAGUGGCAAUGCCUGGACACUGCACAGCAGAAUUUAUAUAGGCAUGUGAUGUGAGAGAACUACAGAAACCUGGUUUUCUUGGGUGAAGGUAUUGCUGUCUCUAAGCCAGACCUGAUUACCUGUCUGGAGCAAGGAAAAGAGCCCUGGAAUAUGAAGAGACAUGAGAUGGUAGCUAAACAUUUAGGUAAGUGAGAGUGAAUACACAGAUGGCACAGAGAAGAGGUCAAAGGCCAAGGAGAAGGCCACAGCUUAAAAUGUGAUUUGGUAAGCUGUGUUCCAAAGGAAAUAGUUUCUGGAAAGCCCGAGUUUUUUUUUAUUUUUCUCUCACAUAGAACAUAUUUUGUAUUGUUUUUCAAUUCUCUAAGGAUUCCUCUUUCCCUUUAGUGAUCUGUCUUCAAUUUCACAGUGAAAGCCAACAUCCUCUUCAUGGGAUAUAAAAGACUGCACAAUCUGACUGGUUUUUUUUUGUUGUUGUUUUGGGGGACACACAAAUAUGCAUAAUUUUGAGAAACUCUAUGUUAAACAGUUUUUUAAAUUCUCUUUUUGCAUCAAGUCUGAAAUGUGUGAGUAGUGAUUUCUGUUCCAUUGGUUUUUUUGUUGUUGUUUAUUUUUCUGUAUAUUCCAUUCUGUUUUUACUACUAUAGCUUUGAAAUAUAGUUACAUAUGUAAGGCAUAUGCAGUGCCAAUAUACCUUUUCAGGAUUUGGCUAUUUUGGAUUGGCUUUUUCUUUUUAUUUGGCAGGACAGAUUUGCUGCUGGUAUUAUUCUCACUUGACAGCUAUUUUCUUCAGGACUUGGACAAUGUCACACAGUUAGUUCCCUUCUGGCCUGCAAAUUUUCUUGAGAAAUUCACUCAUUACCUCAUAAGACUAUGCUUAUAAAUAACAUAUCACUUUUAUCUUGCAACUCACAAUAUUCUCUUGUCUGUGACUUUUAAAAUUGUGCUUAUAUAUGUUCUUGUUGUAAAUAUCUUUGUGUGUAUUCUAGUUUCUUUGUUAACCUUUUUAAUUUUUACAUCAGUUUUUCUUAUAAUUUUUCAGUUCCUUUUUUAUAUUUUUUACCUCCACAAUAUCUGUUUUUUGAUAUUUUUAAUAUUUUUGUUAUCCCAAUUUUUAUGAUUUUUAAUAGUUGUCUGUGUUUCUAUUUCAUUCAUGGAGUAUUAUUCAAUUUAUGUUAACUUUUUAAAAUUAAUUUUUUAAUGGUUGCUUUCUGAAAAUUUUAUAAUAUCUGAUAGAGCUAUGUUGCCCUAAAAUUUUGUAUGCAUUGUAAUCUUUAAUUGAAAUUUGAACAUUAAAAACAAGCUACCUGUCACAGUGUCUAUAAUGUAGCUUUGUCCUGGCAAAGUCUGAAACCAUUUGUCUUAGCUAGAGAUCCUGAGAGUCUUUCAAACAUGUUCUUAGGAUGUGUCUUGUCUGAAAUGUUCUAGUUGUUUUUUAGUUAAAAGACUUUAUUCAUGUUUCUUCUUAAUAGUCAUCACUUGCCACAACUGUUCCCUGUCUGUAGUACAGUCUCUUUCCUGCUGUAACAUUUACCUUUGAUCUCAGCAGACUCAAAAUGUCAUUCCAAAGUAUACCACUGUUAAUUUCAGCACUUUAUGUCAUUGGAGACAGAAACCAGUGUCCGCCAAAGCACCUAAUAAAGCCAGAAAU
rnacentral:lncRNA from 1 species